UCCGUUAUGGUGUAGUGGCUAACAUUAUCGCCUCUCAUGGUAAAUUGAUCUGGAAGCGCGAUAGCCCAGGGUUCGAUUCCCUGUAACGGAA